rnacentral:lncRNA from 1 species
AGCUGAGAGCACUCAGCUCAUAGAUUCUCUGUGGGGAGAGUGAAUAAAGCAAUAUCCAGACUGGUGUUUGAUCAAACAACUGGGUAUCAGAGCCUAGCCAAGUUGACAUAUAAAAGGAAACAUCACGACUAAAGGUGGAGCUAGGGGAAAAUGAGUUUAAUGUGAAGUAGUGCCCCUGUCAGUUCUGUUUGUCCUGGGAAAUACACAAGGAAGAAAAGCCUCCAUGGAAGACAGAGGAAGCACCAGGUGCUGAAGGUUUUCACUGAAAACCCAAACCAAGAAAUAGCAACACAUCUAGAAUACUUACUACUAUAAAGCUCACCUGGAUA